rnacentral:antisense_RNA from 1 species
CAUACGCGAUGAGCGUGCGCUGGCAUAGCUCCGAGCGCACACAGUCUUGUUUACCGAACGACACGAUGCCAAUCAUGUCAUCUUCCGCAAAACGCUCCAGCGCAUCACGCAGUCCGGAUUUAACCCCAGAAGGUAAAUCACACUGCGUAAUAUCACCAUUCACGAUUACCGUUACAUUUUCACCCAGACGAGUA